rnacentral:piRNA from 1 species
UAGACUGUAAGUGCUAUGGAUAGU